CAGACUCUGGAAGGAUCUUCCUUAUGCCAGAAUUAAUGGUCAUCACAGCUGCGGAGCCUGAUUGGUCUUUGUAGAAAACCGACGCCUUAUCCCUGUCCAAACCAGUCAAGCACAUUUCUAGAGUGUAAACCGGGCCAGUGGUGGUCACAGGUUCUGCAGAUGCAGAGUACACAUGCCAUUUCUGUUUAUCCAGCCCACCCAUUACACAAGCCUUGCUACCAGCGCCAAGCUUUCCGAAAUAGUUAUCAAGAACAGCAACCUCUUCAGAGAAGUUUCGGUGAGGAAAUGGCUGAGCACCAGGGAAAAUAAAACUCCCACGAGUAUACCUAACAGAUUUUACAGCAAGGGAUAGACUGCCAACCAAUUUCAAGAUGGGUGGGAUAGCAAGAAGCAACUUAGUUGUCCCACAGGUUUUGAUUAUAAUCUUGUAUGGAUAGACAAAGAGGCUAGACUCAGAAAGGACAUAGGAGUCCACUUGCUUGUUAGAUAAUGAAGAAACAAUGGUGCAUUCAGCUGGACCUAGAAUCUCAUCCAACUGGGCUCUGGUAAGUGCCCGAA
rnacentral:lncRNA from 1 species